AGGGAAAGGUGAAAAGCACCCCGGAAGGGGAGUGAAAAAGUUCCUGAAACCAUGUGCCUACAAGAAGAUAGAGCCCGUUAAUGGGUGAUAGCGUGCCUUUUGUAGAAUGAACCGGCGAGUUACGAUACCAUGCAAGGUUAAGGUGGAAAGACCGGAGCCGUAGCGAAAGCGAGUCUGAAAUGGGCGAAUUAGUAUGUUGUUGUAGACCCGAAACCAGGUGACCUACCCAUGUCCAGGGUGAAGGUGCGGUAAAACGCACUGGAGGCCCGAACCCGUGCAUGUUGAAAAAUGCUGGGAUGAGGUGUGGGUAGCGGUGAAAUUCCAAUCGAACUUGGAGAUAGCUGGUUCUCUCCGAAAUAGCUUUAGGGCUAGCCUCGGAAUGUAGCGUGUUGGAGGUAGAGCACUGUUUUGUUGCGGGGCCCAUCUCGGGUUACCAAAUUAAGAUAA
rnacentral:rRNA from 1 species